ACCCGAAGAUGGUGCGCUAACCUGCUYGCAGGAGGCAGCCAGCCACGGUGGGAUCAGCGACUGGGGUGAAGUCGUAACRAGGUAGCCGUAGGUGAACCUGCAGAAGGAUCA
rnacentral:rRNA from 1 species